rnacentral:lncRNA from 1 species
UACGACCUCAGGACUGGCAAAUUAGCUUUACUCAACAUGCCCCGAGUCAGAUAACUAAAAUACCUUAGUCUAGGUAGAUACUUUCACUGGAUAGGUAGAGGCCUUUCCUACAGGGUCUGAGAAGGCCACCGCAGUCAUUUCUUCCGUUCUGUCAGACAUAAUUCCUCAGUUUAACCUUCCCACCUCAAUACAGUCUGAUAACAGA